UGGGGAAUAUUGCACAAUGGGCGCAAGCCUGAUGCAGCCAUGCCGCGUGUAUGAAGAAGGCCUUCGGGUUGUAAAGUACUUUCAGUCGGGAGGAAGGUGGUAAGGUUAAUAACCUUAUCAAUUGACGUUACCGACAGAAGAAGCACCGGCUAACUCCGUGCCAGCAGCCGCGGUAAUACGGUGGGUGCAAGCGUUAAUCGGAAUUACUGGGCGUAAAGCGCACGCAGGCGGUUGAUUGAGUCAGAUGUGAAAUCCCCGGGCUCAACCUGGGAACUGCAUCUGAUACUGGCAAGCUUGAGUCUCGUAGAGGGGGGUAGAAUACCAGGUGUAGCGGUGAAAUGCGUAGAGAUCUGGAGGAAUACCGGUGGCGAAGGCGGCCCCCUGGACGAAGACUGACGCUCAGGUGCGAAAGCGUGGGGAGCAAACAGG
rnacentral:rRNA from 1 species